CAGAACUGGAAGCUCUUCCUUUUCUAUUGUACUACACCUGUAAUGAUCUCAGAACAUAUCAAUUGUCUUAAAGUUUUUCCUUCUUGAUUUAGUUAUGUUGUGAUAUCUCUUAUCUCCUAUCCUAAUCACACUAAAAUUAUCUAAGAACAGUAUAUAAAAAAGGACAAUUUCAGUUUUCUUCUAUACUGAAAGUAUUUGUAGGUCUGCAUGAACAAGCCUUGUCAGUAUCCUCCAUGGACUGAUUUGCCAUACUAACGUAAGAAAGAGUCCAAGUAUCUUUACUUACACAGUUAGGUAAAUGGAAUUUGAUUUGAUUUGCAAAUUCAAUGCAAAAUGGAUAUAUCUGAAACUUAAUUCUACUUCUACCUACUUAGACCUAUAGGAAAAUAAGACUGAAUGUAUAAAUAGGGUUUUACCAGUAUGUUUUAAUGUCUGCUCAGUCACUCAUAAUAAUGAUCAACAUGUUGAUUCUGACUAAAUGAAGCUGAAAAUCAGAUUUUCCCAAUAUAUCACAUCAGCAUACACAUCUGCUGAUCAGUGUUAAUUAGUCCUGUAUUUUCCAAUUUGUAAUCUGUGGAUGUUUUAUGGGGAUGUAAAUAGUAACAUAUUAGCAUUUAUAAUCUUUCUUUGGAAAGCUUAUGCUGAGCAAGUGACCAAUAAAUUGCAGUUAACGUAAACAUUAAUCAAAUUGAAUGCCAGUAUGGAAAGAGUCUCAAGUUUAGAGGGAAAAAUCAACUUUCUGUCAUGUAUUUUAUUGCUGAAGUGUAAUUAAGUAAGAUCAUGACGAUCUCUGAAUAUUCAAUGACAAAUAGAUAUAUUUGUUUCAAGAUCUGUGUGCCAUCCUGAAGCGCUAAUCACUUGACCAUUAGAGUGAAUGGAUGCCACUCAAUCUACAAUGGUGAAUUAAAUUUCCAGUGGUUGGAUGAAAGAAUAAAAAGAGAGAGAGAAAAAAUGCAUAAAUGAGUAUGAAAUGUUGUAAUAUGAGAGGUUAGUAUAUAAAGCCACAAAGUGAUGAGUACUUCACAGAAAUGUAAUGACCUACAUUUGGCCUAAACAAGCUAUUGUAUGACCAUAAAUGUACCAUUAUUUUGAACAAAUGAAGAUUGCAGAUAUAGUAGGUAAACAACAAUAAAUAUAAAACACACAAUCUGUUGUCAUGAGCAAAGAAAGUAUUUAAAUAUCAGUGCUGCUCUGCACUGCAAUAACUUUAUAUAUAUAUUUUUUUUCCCUCCAGCAUUUAUCUUGCUCUUAUAUGAUAUGCUUUUCCUCAAAAACAAACAAACAAAAAAAAAAGCCACAAACUACUGAAAGAAGUGAAGCUAAAACAGAGUAUUUUUAUGGAUUUCCUAGAGUGCACAUAUACAACCUGGAAUGAACGUACAGAAGGAAUGUUUAUCUUUAAGUUUGGCCAGGAAAAUGAAGAAUUGGAGAAUGGCUCACAGAGAGCUCAGUUUGAACAAAGGAAUUUCUCAAAUAAGGUGCAAAUAUAGAUAGAAUAGAUUAUCUGAAAUAAGAAAAAGCAUUAAGUCAAAGUAUGCUAAAGAAAUUAGUGGACUUAAAAUUUGGUCAUCUAUGAACUUACAUAUAUUUAUUCUUUAACUAUAUCUAAUAAUGGUAUGAUGAUGAAGCGUAUGCAAAAAUCUACUCAGUUUGAAACACCCUCCUAAAGCUAACAAAUAUAAAUACUUUCAAUAGAAUGCUUCUAAUAAAUUAUUAGAGGAACACAGGGCAAAAAAUAGAAGCAAUCAUCCUGAGAAAACCUAGGUGACCUGAUGCUGUGCUAAAGGAGACAGCAAACUAAUUCUUGGAAUGAGAAGAGGCAGGAAGGGUUUCUAGACCAGGCAUGGUAGGAGCACUAAGUGUUGAGGGGAUGAACCCUGGUUCUCCACCACCAAGUGCUGACUACCAGAAAGGUAUUGCACAUUGACAGAACCCACAAAGUCAGUGUGCCAUAGCAUCCUGUCUUUGGAGAACAAAACUAAGAACAUGUAAAGGGCAGAAAUAACAGCUGAAUUUAAGCAGACUUGAAGCUGAAAGCAAUGUAACAGAAUUGAGGUCAUACAGAAAGGUGGAUUACAUAUUAGAGCCUGGAAGUCUCAUCCUACCAGGCCAAGCAGCAUUCAACAAAGAAGAAUGAGGAAUAGGAAUUUUGGGGUUUGUUUUUCAUCUUUUUCUUGUUUUCUUUCUAAAUAAAAUUGACAUAUCUAGAAAACUGAAAGCCAGGCAGACUGGGCAGCGAGAAAUAUUUUCCUGUGUUACAUUUAUUUUACUAAAAAGCACUGUUGCUCAGGCAGAUCCUGUACUACAAAAAUAUGCAAAGUUUUUGCAAAAACAAAGGUAUGUGGCAGCUCUUCUCACUAUAAUGAGUGAGGGAGGGACAUUCUGAGGAGAUGAAUGAAGUAUGGGUGCCUUCUGCAAAAAAAGAGCUGUUUCAUUCCUGAACUACUAUCUACUUUCUAAGUAGGUUGGUCUCCUGAUCAGAAUAAUCUUUUUAUUUUUAUUAUUUCUAUUUCCUUUUAAUCAUUUUUGUGAAGCCUAUUUUUACUAAUAUUUGUUCAGUUGCAGCAAUAACCACCAAAAGGUGGUUAUUAUCUUUUGAAUUAGUGUGAUGUUCUAUAAAGAAAGAGGAAACAUUUCUGUCUGCAGUAAAAACAGUAGAAACACAGGAGGUUUUAAACUGCUUUUUAGUACGAUAGCAAAGAUUUCAUGGGAAGGUAACUAUAAGCACCAUCAAGAACAGCUCUGACCUUAACACAUACCUCAAAGGACAAUUAGGUUUAGCUCUGGAGGGUUUUUAUCUUUAAACAUCUUGCUGAGUAAAAACUCUUCCUACAGUCAUCAGACUGUACUGACUUUGUUACAUGCCAAACACAGUAUUUGUGGCUGCAAUAGAGCACCAGAUAUUUAAUGUUCUUGCUGUUAUGGCAUAUGCAUAAUGCACAGCUUAUGCAACUUUCAUGGGUUUUUCUUUGCUGCACCCUUUAAUCUCUCUCAGAAGACCUUUGUGGUGUUAUUCUUUAUUUAUUUUACAUAGUGCUUGCACCCAUCAAGGAUAAACAAAAUAAAACUUCUGGAAGUUACCAGGCCAGUUAUCUAUUUGGAGACUUGGUUAACUUUGAGCACUAUAUACAAAACAUAUGCUACCAAUCAUGCAAGUCACAGACCUCUGAUGAGGUGAAACCACAAUUUUUCAUACGUAAGUAUGAUGAAAGAGGUAAGUUUCAACCAGCUAAAGUGCCCGUGAAUAAUAACUUUGUAACAAGAAAGAUUAGGCCUGACAUGCAAACAUCUUUUUGUAAAAAGAAACUUUUUGAUCAAGCUGUGAAUUUAAAUGCAAUAACUGAAAAAAAAAAAAAAAGAAAGAAAAAAAAAAGAUAAUAGAGGAAAAAUUUGUACAAGUUGCAAAGACCAUUCUCUCAAAAGGAGAAAAAGAUGAAAUGAAAUUGCCCUGUAUUCCCUGUUAACAAUUUUCUCUCCAACAUAUCUUAAGUUAACUAGCCUGAGGUAUAUCCUGUGGACACAGCAAUGACUGCAUGCACACCGUGUGCGCUCAAGAAUAGCAAGUAAGUAUGAAGUCGUGGAGUUAGUAAGGACUAGUAAGGACUUCACCACUAGGCCUGAAAAAAUGAAGAGAUCAUUGUGAUGUCCUUAAGGACCUCUCCUUAAGGACCUGACAGCCUGAGGCAGAUAGGAAGGACAUCACACUGAUGAGGUAGAAGUGUUUGUGAAAGCCCUAACAAUGUUUUUAUUUUUUUAUUUUUUAUUUUUAUUUUUUGCUUUUUACAGGAGAAACUAUAAGCUCAUUAAGAAAUGAUAAUCAUUCUGUUCCUCUCACAUAACAUGGAGAACUGUACAAGAUGGAAGAAUAUUAAGAGCUAUCACAGAGUACUAUACUCUAAUGAGGAAAGCUCAUGCUUCAAUUUCCUGAGUUUGACCUCUGAAAAGGCACUGAGCCUCUAGGAAUCAAGUCCACUCAUCUAAUUCCUUGACUUCAGUGUGCUACAAACCAGCAUAAGGGCUGCAGAAUUUGAUGAAUGCAAGACAGAAUGGAAGCAGAAGAGAAAGUACGAUACGAGGAGGCGAACAGCUCUGGAGUACUGAGCUCAGCAGGCUAAAUACUACCGCCCUGAUAAGCAAUCUCCAAAGGUACGCGUGUACAAUGCCGACAACAGUCUGAAACUCUAUUGCUAUAUUUACAUUAAGGCACAGUAGAAGAUGGGGUGACAAAAGCAGCUGCUACUGAGGACUUGACAUUCACAGCACACAUGUUUCGGAAGGUUUAUCCUGGACUAUCUUUAGGCAGGUUCUGUGGAUGAGCAUUCAUUGCGUUUCAAAAAGGUCUGCGGCUUGAGGUUAAACAAAAUGGAAUCAAGCUCACGUGCUCUGGAAUUACACAUGGUGUGAAUCCAAGCAGAACAAUUAAAAACAUCCAGGAAAUGAGCUUUAAAGUCACCUUCUUUUCUCCAAAUCUAAAUACUGAUGUAAGUGCAUCCUAUGUCAUUUAAAAUUCUCUUGACUUCACAAGUAUUCCAUGUAAAUUUCCCAAUGAAUUUUUGGGAAAUGGACCUUAAUGAAAAUUGAUUUUUAAAUAAAAGUUAUGUUGUUCUUAUUGGAGAACACAGUGAUUUGUAAUGUAAUAGGAGGUUUUUAUGUUUUGUUCAGACUAUCUGGAUAGACAAGAAGAAUGUGCAUGUAGGAAACGUACAGUCUGCAACACCUAUAAAGGUUACAAAAGUGUACAAAAACAUCUCUUGAAAUUUAAAAUAUUGUUGAUGAAAGGAAUGCUUUUAAACUUUUUAGAGGAGCCACACAUGACAUUUUACCCUUUAAAGAUGGGAAGGUAACAAGAACUUUUCUUCCCCAAAAUGUGGAGCACGCUCAGGUGAAGCUGAAACUGAAUUUCCAGUUAGAUCUCUGCUGCAGCUUACAAAGCUACCUAAAUCGAAGUGACAGUCCAGCCAGGAACUGAGAAAUAUGUCACAACAAAUUCUUUUUAAAUAUAAAAUAAUUUCACAUGCUCUGCAGACCAUUACCAUUUUGUAAUUUUAAAGAGAGAUGAAGACAAUCCUUGCACAAGGACGUUUCAGGUGUUCUUUACCCAUAACCACUUUAGUGAUUACAACUUUUUUAUUCUAUUGCUAUGUUUGCUGAUUAUGUACUUCAUGUAAAACAUCUUAAGGAAAUCAUCCUUUACAUUGUAUGAUUUGCAUUCGUCAUUAUUUUUUACUAUGACUAGUAUAACUAUUAUACUAUGACUAUAACCUCUUAAUUCAUUCCAUGAAAGAUUUGAAAAAAAAAAAAAGAAAAGAAAUUAGACCUACUUUUUGGAUCAUUAAGUAGUGCAUAAUCUUCAAAUGGGACAUUAAAAACUGUAAUCAGUGACAUCACCAUGACAACCGAUUAAGAAUUGUCUAGAGAAGCCUCUGAAAAUGCAAUUUUUUAAUAUAAUACAUUUAAAUGAGUUCAUCAGAACAAAGCACUCUAAGUAGAUUUAUUAUGAAUUGAACAUCUAGAAAUAAUUUGGAUAUACAAUGAACACUGAAAUUUUUUCACUCUGACUUCAGGAGAUAGGGGGUGGCAUCAAAAUUCUUUCUUGACUUUGAUAGACUUAGCAGGGGAGGGAAUAUCAAAGAAAAAAUCAGUUGUCUUGCACUAACAGACUGGAUUUCAUUAACUGGUUUUGGGGCAUGCUUCUUCCUGUAUUAUUUAGUCUCCUAACGUGUAGCUACAGUUUACACCAGGUGAGGGCCUCUAAGAAUUAGGCAUUGCUUAAAUUCCCCUUACGCUUUAGCCUGAUGAUCUUACACGAAGCUAUGCCCACUGUCCAGCUCACUCUAAUGAGUGAAACUGGAAGCAGCAGAAACAUCAUUCUGUCACAUAUCAACAGUAAAAUAUAAAUAAAACAUCAUACAAUGUCUACUGCAGUAUAUUGUGUUACAUACCUAUAUAAAUGAUAUACUUAGUAGUUGAGGAAAAAAUACUCAUGGACUAAAGGCCAAUCAAAAUAAUAUUUUUAUCUGUAUCACAGAAGAUUAAAGAGAAAUACAUAUAUACAUUUUUUACAGAUAAUCUGUUUGAAAAGAUUAGCUAUACUUAACAAGAGUAAACUACCCAGCAUGCAUGAGCCCUGCUCAUCCUCAGAACAGCUAAAAGAAUGUAGGAAUUUCUUCCUCGUGUCUCCCAGUUUCCAAGUUGCCUCUCUAAGUUACAGCUUGUUCUUGUCUUUUACGGUUAUGUCUCCUUCUUCUGCCAGCUGUAUUUUUUAUGCCCUUUUCUAGAACAGAACUUGCACUAGUGACGUUGUUGCAAGCAGACUGCAUGUUUAGAACAAAGACUUUCCACAACGCUGCCUUGUGUAAGUGCUAUUGUUGCAGAAUGGGGAGGAGGUUUAAGUUUCCACAUAGUAGAAGCUCUCACUUAGAAUGAUACAGUGUUUUUUACUGCAAGAAGUUCACAACAGGGACAGUAUGUCAGUCACUGUAAUCUGCCACUGUUCUAUGUUGGCUGGGUCCGCAAUAUUUUAUAUCAGCUGCAAAUCUGCCUCUUAAAAGCAUGCUGGUCCAUCCUAAAGCACAAUGAAACUAGGAACGUUUUAGUCAAGGACUGCGUCUCAGACUGAAAUGACAGUCUGUCUUUGGCAUGCUCACCCUCCAAAAACUUUAACGCAGCUGCAGAAAAAUGUUCUUAAUGCCUUCAGAAAUCUGACUGAUUUGAAUUGGUAUCAAAACUAGAGGCAUUCCCAAAUCACCAAUCCCUUUUGAAAACCCAGGCUAUUAUACUUACAAAACACUGACUCUCCAUUAAACUCCUUGUUAUUCUUUUUCUAAUGAGACACUUUACCAGCCUGUCAUCACCCGCUGUGAUUAAUUCUCUACUUGUAAAAUUUUAGCUCUCUCUCUGCUGCUGCUGUUAAUGUGCUUUGUACCAAAUAAAAAUGAAGCUGAUGUUUACAAAUCCUGUCUGGAGGUUGCUUUAAAAAAGCCCUUCUUUGCCUUACAUUAAUGAGGCCAAGUACACCAAUUUUUGUUCAAAAUUAUUCUGGAU
ensembl:lncRNA